UUUUCAGUUCUAUUUGGGGCCAGCUUCAAGGAGAUAAAAUCUAGGGUUUCAAUCAGAGCCAUUACCUCCGCUUGCUCAGCCGAUCUAACCUCCACAGAUUUAGUAAAACCAUCAAUAAUUCUUCCCAAAUCAUCCCUGCAGAUACAAGCUACAGCUGCUGUGAAGGGGGAAAGUCGGUUUUGAGAUCCGGCGUGCAAGGCACAGAGGCGAUUUCGGUUUCUUCCCACUCUACGGCAUCCACACCUAUUUCAAGAAUGCUGGAUAAAUCCAGCGAAUAUUUGUUCUUUUCUUUGUAUUUCGAAUAAGCAUUUGUCUCGGCAUCCCUGUUGGGUCGCAACGCAGCUUUGUUUGGAGAGAGAUGUCGUUGCAAGGUGGAGCUGGUCUUCUUCAAUUUCCGUCCAUGAAACAUCAAGUGUUGGGGAGAAGGAGGUAUAGGAGUUGGCAAACGAGUCUUGAAACUCUUCGCUUGUUGAUUUUGGUUCCGGGGUUGAUGCUGAAAGAUCUUCAAUUCUGUGCAAUGAGACCUCUUGAUUUGAGUUGAACAGUGAUCUGUCUAUGCAAUUAGGCCCAAAGGAUGCAUCUAUGUUGAUUUUGAGAACACCGGGCUUUAGGGGUUGCCAUUUGUUGUGUAAGUCGGCUUCUUUCUUCUGAUUUUUUGAUUUGGGAUUCCA